CAUAUUGUGAGCUCGAUGAGUAGGGCGGGACACGUGGUAUCCUGUCUGAAUAUGGGGGGACCAUCCUCCAAGGCUAAAUACUCCUGACUGACCGAUAGUGAACCAGUACCGUGAGGGAAAGGCGAAAAGAACCCCGGCGAGGGGAGUGAAAAAGAACCUGAAACCGUGUACGUACAAGCAGUGGGAGCACGCUUAGGCGUGUGACUGCGUACCUUUUGUAUAAUGGGUCAGCGACUUAUAUUCUGUAGCAAGGUUAACCGAAUAGGGGAGCCGAAGGGAAACCGAGUCUUAACUGGGCGUUAAGUUGCAGGGUAUAGACCCGAAACCCGGUGAUCUAGCCAUGGGCAGGUUGAAGGUUGGGUAACACUAACUGGAGGACCGAACCGACUAAUGUUGAAAAAUUAGCGGAUGACUUGUGGCUGGGGGUGAAAGGCCAAUCAAACCGGGAGAUAGCUGGUUCUCCCCGAAAGCUAUUUAGGUAGCGCCUCGUGAAUUCAUCUCCGGGGGUAGAGCACUGUUUCGGCAAGGGGGUCAUCCCGACUUACCAACCCGAUGCAAACUGCGAAUACCGGAGAAUGUUAUCACGGGAGACACACGGCGGGUGCUAACGUCCGUCGUGAAGAGGGAAACAACCCAGACCGCCAGCUAAGGUCCCAAAGUCAUGGUUAAGUGGGAAACGAUGUGGGAAGGCCCAGACAGCCAGGAUGUUGGCUUAGAAGCAGCCAUCAUUUAAAGAAAGCGUAAUAGCUCACUGGUCGAGUCGGCCUGCGCGGAAGAUGUAACGGGGCUAAACCAUGCACCGAAGCUGCGGCAGCGACGCUGAUGCGUUGUUGGGUAGGGGAGCGUUCUGUAAGCCUGUGAAGGUGUGCUGUGAGGUAUGCUGGAGGUAUCAGAAGUGCGAAUGCUGACAUAAGUAACGAUAAAGCGGGUGAAAAGCCCGCUCGCCGGAAGACCAAGGGUUCCUGUCCAACGUUAAUCGGGGCAGGGUGAGUCGACCCCUAAGGCGAGGCCGAAAGGCGUAGUCGAUGGGAAACAGGUUAAUAUUCCUGUACUUGGUGUUACUGCGAAGGGGGGACGGAGAAGGCUAUGUUGGCCGGGCGACGGUUGUCCCGGUUUAAGCGUGUAGGCUGGUUUUCCAGGCAAAUCCGGAAAACUAAGGCUGAGGCGUGAUGACGAGGCACUACGGUGCUGAAGCAACAAAUGCCCUGCUUCCAGGAAAAGCCUCUAAGCAUCAGGUAACAUCAAAUCGUACCCCAAACCGACACAGGUGGUCAGGUAGAGAAUACCAAGGCGCUUGAGAGAACUCGGGUGAAGGAACUAGGCAAAAUGGUGCCGUAACUUCGGGAGAAGGCACGCUGAUAUGUAGGUGAAGUCCCUCGCGGAUGGAGCUGAAAUCAGUCGAAGAUACCAGCUGGCUGCAACUGUUUAUUAAAAACACAGCACUGUGCAAACACGAAAGUGGACGUAUACGGUGUGACGCCUGCCCGGUGCCGGAAGGUUAAUUGAUGGGGUCAGCGCAAGCGAAGCUCUUGAUCGAAGCCCCGGUAAACGGCGGCCGUAACUAUAACGGUCCUAAGGUAGCGAAAUUCCUUGUCGGGUAAGUUCCGACCUGCACGAAUGGCGUAAUGAUGGCCAGGCUGUCUCCACCCGAGACUCAGUGAAAUUGAACUCGCUGUGAAGAUGCAGUGUACCCGCGGCAAGACGGAAAGACCCCGUGAACCUUUACUAUAGCUUGACACUGAACAUUGAGCCUUGAUGUGUAGGAUAGGUGGGAGGCUUUGAAGUGUGGACGCCAGUCUGCAUGGAGCCGACCUUGAAAUACCACCCUUUAAUGUUUGAUGUUCUAACGUUGACCCGUAAUCCGGGUUGCGGACAGUGUCUGGUGGGUAGUUUGACUGGGGCGGUCUCCUCCUAAAGAGUAACGGAGGAGCACGAAGGUUGGCUAAUCCUGGUCGGACAUCAGGAGGUUAGUGCAAUGGCAUAAGCCAGCUUGACUGCGAGCGUGACGGCGCGAGCAGGUGCGAAAGCAGGUCAUAGUGAUCCGGUGGUUCUGAAUGGAAGGGCCAUCGCUCAACGGAUAAAAGGUACUCCGGGGAUAACAGGCUGAUACCGCCCAAGAGUUCAUAUCGACGGCGGUGUUUGGCACCUCGAUGUCGGCUCAUCACAUCCUGGGGCUGAAGUAGGUCCCAAGGGUAUGGCUGUUCGCCAUUUAAAGUGGUACGCGAGCUGGGUUUAGAACGUCGUGAGACAGUUCGGUCCCUAUCUGCCGUGGGCGCUGGAGAACUGAGGGGGGCUGCUCCUAGUACGAGAGGACCGGAGUGGACGCAUCACUGGUGUUCGGGUUGUCAUGCCAAUGGCACUGCCCGGUAGCUAAAUGCGGAAGAGAUAAGUGCUGAAAGCAUCUAAGCACGAAACUUGCCCCGAGAUGAGUUCUCCCUGACUCCUUGAGAGUCCUGAAGGAACGUUGAAGACGACGACGUUGAUAGGCCGGGUGUGUAAGCGCAGCGAUGCGUUGAGCUAACCGGUACUAAUGAACCGUGAGGCUUAACCUU
rnacentral:rRNA from 1 species